GUGCUCACUUGGGUAGCACAUAUACUAAAAUUGGAACAGCACAAAGAAGAUUAGUGUGGCUCCUGUGCAAGGAUGACACGCAAAUUCAUGAAGCGUUUCAUAUUUUU
rnacentral:snRNA from 3 species